GAGCUAUACUAUCAGCGACACCGAGCAUAGCUAUCUACAGGCGACAUCCUCUAUCAGCGACUCAACGAUUGUUUUAAACUAUCGGCAUCUGUCAGCUUGUGUUGUUCACGAGCAUGGCCGUGGACAAGCCGCCAAACAUGUAAACAAACCCUUUUAAUUUUUUCACGAGCAUCAUUUUUUGUAUGAAUGUACAAAACAACUUUCGGCAACGGAUCUCUUGGCUCUCGCAACGAUGAAGAACGCAGCGAAAUCUAUCACGAGCAUUGAAUUGCAGAAUUCAGUUACUACGAGCAUCUUUGAACGCACAUUGCGCUUCCUGGUAUUCCGGGGAGCAUGCCCGUUUCAGAAUCAUUAAAAUCUCACCAAGGUUGAGCUUUUCCAGCGACUAUCACGAGCAUACUACGAGCAUUUUGUUUCGACAAUCAUCUUCACAGCGAGCAUUGUGCAUCCAUCGAACAUUCGAUGGGUUACCAAAGUGCAACAGAUUUCAUCUAUCUACGAGGCACGAGCAUUUCGCUUCUAUCAUUACGACGAGCAUAUGGGAGCAUAUACCCAAGCAUCCUAUCACGAGCAUGCCCUUGGGUGAAAUAUUUGAUAACUUGGUCUGAAAUCGGGCAAGAAAC
rnacentral:rRNA from 1 species